rnacentral:rRNA from 1 species
AUUGAACGCUGGCGGCAGGCCUAACACAUGCAAGUCGAGCGAGCGGCGGACGGGUGAGUAAUGUCUGGGAAACUGCCUGAUGGAGGUGGAUAACUACUGGAAACGGUAGCUAAUACCGCAUACCAUCAGAUGUGCCCAGAUGGGAUUAGCUGGAAGGUGGGGUAACGGCUCACCUAGGCGACGAUCCCUAGCUGGCCUUAGAGGAAGACCAGCCACACUGGAACUGAGACACGGUCCAGACUCCGACGGGAGGCAGCAGGGGGGAAGAUUGCACAAUGGGCGCAAGCCUGAUGCAGCAAUGCCGCGUGUGUGAAGAAGGCCUUCGGGUUGUAAAGCACUGUCAGCGGGGAGGCGUUACCCGCAGAAGAAGCACCGGCUAACUCCGUGCCAGCCGCCGCGGUAAUUC